rnacentral:rRNA from 1 species
UACGAAGGGUGCAAGCGUUACUCGGAAUUACUGUGCGUAAAGCGUGCGUAGGUGGUCGUUUAAGUCUGUUGUGAAAGCCCUGGGCUCAACCUGGGAAUGGCAGUGGAUACUGGAAAGCUAGAGUGCGGUAGAGGGUAGUGGAAUUCCCGGUGUAGCAGUGAAAUGCGUAGAGAUCGGGAGGAACACCAGUGGCGAAGACGGCUUCCUGGACCAGCACUGACGCUGAGGCACGAAAGCGUGGGGAGCAAACAGG